rnacentral:tRNA from 1 species
GAGGGUAUAGCUCAGUGGUAGAGGGCAUGUUUAGUAUUCAUGAGAUUCUGAGUUCAGCCCCCAGUACCUCCA